rnacentral:rRNA from 1 species
AAAUUGAAGAGUUUGAUCAUGGCUCAGAUUGAACGCUGGCGGCAGGCCUAACACAUGCAAGUCGAACGGUAACAGAAAGCAGCUUGCUGCUUUGCUGACGAGUGGCGGACGGGUGAGUAAUGUCUGGGAAACUGCCCGAUGGAGGGGGAUAACUACUGGAAACGGUAGCUAAUACCGCAUAACGUCGCAAGACCAAAGAGGGGGACCUUAGGGCCUCUUGCCAUCGGAUGUGCCCAG